GGGAGUAAAAGUCGUAACAAGGUUUCCGUAGGUGAACCUGCGGGAGGGUCAUUAAAGAGUAAGGGUGCUCAGCGCCCGACCUCCAACCCUUUGUUGUUAAAACUACCUUGUUGCUUUGGCGGGGCCGCUCGGUCUCGAGCCGCUGGGGGUUCGUCCCAGGCGAGCGCCCGCCAGAGUCAAACCAAACUCUUGUUAUUUAACCGGUCGUCUGAGUUAAAAUUUUGAAUAAAUCAAAACUUUCAACAACGGGUCUCUUGGUUCUCGCAUCGAUGAAGAACGCAGCGAAAUGCGAUAAGUAAUGUGAAUUGCAGAAUUCAGUGAAUCAUCGAAUCUUUGAACGCACAUUGCGCCCCUUGGUAUUCCGAGGGGCAUGCCUGUUCGAGCGUCAUUACACCACUCAAGCUAUGCUUGGUAUUGGGCGUCGUCCUUAGUUGGGCGCGCCUUAAAGACCUCGGCGAGGCCACUCCGGCUUUAGGCGUAGUAGAAUUUAUUCGAACGUCUGUCAAAGGGGAGGGACUCUGCCGACUGAAACCUUUAUUUUUCUAGGUUGACCUCGGGUCAGGUAGGGGUACCCGCUGAACUUAAGCAUAUCAAUAAGCGGGGGG
rnacentral:rRNA from 1 species